GCUUAUGACCAUACCACCCUGAACACAUCCAGUCUCAUCUGAUCUUGGAAGCUAAGCAGGGUCUGGCCUGGUUAGUACUUGGAUGGAAAACUGCGCAGGAACACCAGGUGCUUAAGUU
rnacentral:rRNA from 1 species